AGCCCUGGGGUGUUAUCAUAUCAGAUUGCAAAUCUGAGGAAGCAGACUAACCGUCUGCCGGGGCUU
rnacentral:tRNA from 1 species